AGAAUCAACGCUGGCGGCGUGCCUAACACAUGCAAGUCGCACGAGAAAGGGGAGCAAUCCCUGAGUAAAGUGGCGCACGGGUGAGUAACACGUGAAUGAUCUACCUCCGAGUGGGGAAUAAACUGAGAGAAAUCUUAGCUAAUACCGCAUAAUACCCACGGGUCAAAGCAGCAAUGCGCUUGGAGAGGAGUUCGCGGCCGAUUAGUUAGUUGGCGGGGUAAUGGCCCACCAAGACGAUGAUCGGUA
rnacentral:rRNA from 1 species